GUGCUUGCCUUGGCAGCACAUGUACUAAAAUUGGACUGAUACAGAGAAGAUUAGCAUGGCCCCUGCAAAUCGCAAAGCAUUCCUAUUUUUG
ensembl:snRNA U6 U6 spliceosomal RNA